AUACAGGUGGCUGCAUGGCUGUCGUCAGCUCGUGUCGUGAGAUGUUGGGUUAAGUCCGCAACGAGCGCAACCCUUUUCCUUAUUUGCCAGCGGGUAAUGCCGGGAACUUUAAGGAUACUGCCAGUGACAAACUGGAGGAAGGCGGGGACGACGUCAAGUCAUCAUGGCCCUUACGGCCAGGGCUACACACGUGCUACAAUGGUCGGUACAAAGGGUUGCUACCUCGCGAGAGGAUGCUAAUCUCAAAAAGCCGAUCGUAGUCCGGAUCGCAGUCUGCAACUCGACUGCGUGAAGUCGGAAUCGCUAGUAAUCGCGGAUCAGAAUGCCGCGGUGAAUACGUUCCCGGGCCUUGUACACACCGCCCGUCACACCAUGGGAGUUUGUUGCACCAGAAGUAGGUAGUCUAACCGCAAGGAGGACGCUUACCACGGUGUGGCCGAUGACUGGGGUGAAGUCGUAACAAGGUAAGCGUAGAUGA
rnacentral:rRNA from 1 species